rnacentral:misc_RNA from 1 species
GCUGUUGCUUAUGGUGCUGCUGUUCAAGGAGGAAUUCUAAGCGGAGAGGGUGGUGACGAAACCAAAGAUAUACUUCUCCUGGACGUUGCUCCACUCACUCUUGGCAUUGAAACUGUUGGUGGAGUGAUGACCAAGUUGAUUCCUAGAAACACUGUUAUUCCAACUAAGAAGUCUCAAGUUUUCACCACCUACCAAGAUCAACAAACAACUGUCACUAUUCAGGUCUUCGAGGGUGAAAGGAGUCUCACAAAGGACUGCAGGCUGCUUGGGAAAUUUGAUUUAACCGGAAUUGCCCCAGCUCCAAGAGGAACUCCACAGAUUGAGGUGACGUUCGAGGUUGAUGCCAAUGGUAUCCUAAAUGUUAAGGCUGAGGACAAGGCCUCAGGGAAAUCUGAGAAAAUCACCAUUACAAAUGACAAGGGUAGGCUGAGUCAGGAGGAGAUUGACAGGAUGGUCCGGGAGGCUGAGGAGUUUGCAGAGGAAGACAAGAAAGUCAAGGAGAAGAUUGAUGCCCGUAACAGCUUAGAGACAUAUGUUUACAACAUGAAGAACCAGAUCAACGAUAAGGACAAGUUGGCUGACAAAUUAGAAUCUGAUGAGAAGGAAAAGAUUGAGACAGCAGUUAAUGAAGCCCUUGAGUGGCUAGACGACAAUCAGAAGGCUGAGAAGGAGGACUAUGAGGAGAAGCUGAAGGAGGUAGAGGCUGUAUGCAACCCCAUCAUAACUGCUGUUUAUCAGAGGUCUGGUGGAGCCCCAGGAGGCCCUUCAGGUGGAGAAGAUGAUGAUGAUGAUUCACAUGAUGAGCUUUAAAUUGUUUAGCUUAAUUUCUUGACCAUAGCAUAGGAAGAAAAACGUGGAAACACCAUUAAGGGGAGUGAUUUUCCUUUCGUUCAGUUUUGAAAUUGAAUUAUUGGAGAUGUAUAGUAUGCCAUGUUACAACUGAAAGAAAAUUUAUAUUCUUUCUUCUGAUUUUGGAAC